rnacentral:rRNA from 1 species
AGGCUAAAAGAGUCAGGAUGUUGGCUUAGAAGCAGCCAUCAUUUAAAGAAAGCGUAAUAGCUCACUGAUCGAGUCGUCCUGCGCGGAAGAUGUAACGGGGCUAAGCCAGUUACCGAAGCUGCGGAUUUGCAAUUUAUUGCAAGUGGUAGGAGAGCGUUCUGUAAGCCUGUGAAGGUGAGUUGAGAAGCUUGCUGGAGGUAUCAGAAGUGCGAACGCUGACAUGAGUAGCG